rnacentral:lncRNA from 1 species
GUCUCAAUGUUUCUUUUCUGAUUACACAAGUGAAUGUAUUCAUUUUUUUUUUGUACCUAGAAAAAUUAUCACAUCUAUAUCACAUUAAUUUCUACAGAUAAAAAAAUACAUUCAAUUAAUUGCACAUUAUGCAUUCUAUUCUCUGGUUUUAACCAAUCACGAACAAAGCCACCAGUAGGUUAAGAGAAUUCUGAUAAAAUUUAGAUACUAGCCCUUAUAGUGAAAUUUAAAACAUCAAAUCAUACAUUGUAUAUUCAUGCAAGUUAUUGAUAGUGAUGAAAACUCACACACAGAAAUAUAAAUAUAAUGAAAAAAGGAAAAAAACAUGAUAAUAAAGCUUUGUGUUUAUGCAAUUACAACUUAUUUCAUAACAAA